ensembl:lncRNA
AUUUAUAUUUAUAUUUAUAUUUAUAUUUAUAUUUAUAUUUAUAUUUAUAUUUAUAUUUAUAUUUAUAUUUAUAUUUAUAUUUAUAUUUAUAUUUAUAUUUAUAUUUAUAUUUAUAUUUAUAUUUAUAUUUUAUACUAAAUAUAUAUUUAUAUUUAUAUUUAUAUUUUUAUUUAUAUUAAGCCAAUGGCAUUUUUUAAAUAAUAGUUACCGCAUAAUUAUUUCAAGCUGCAAUGCAUGCUGGGAACUCAAAUCUGCGUUCUGUUUGCUACCUCAAUUUAAAUUCCGUUCAAAUUCAGAAACUGAAUUUGUGUGCAGGUGGAGUUCCCUGUAGCAGCAGUAAUCAGGAGCACCCAGGGCUUUCUGGAGCUUCGAGCCUCUCUACCACUCCCAUCCGUCUCCCUGCCGAAUUCUUCCACCCAGCUGCAGCGGCCCUCCCCGCACCCCCGAGAGGCCGACCGGGACACAAACCAAGAGGGCUUCGGCUAACUUCCCCAGCCUCAUGGGCGUCUCUACGCUCUCCUGGCGCAAACACCAGGCUGCUUACCACACAGUAUCCAUCUCACAGUGACUCCUCCCUGGCUACGGGGAGCUCAGAGAGCAGCCUACUGACCACCAUGGAAGAAGGGCUCAGUUUCAACGUAUCCACCACCCAGCCGCUGCUGGACACACUCCUCGACGAUCGCGCCAGCCUCUCCACGGAGACCCUGAGACCCAGUCCUCCAGCUACCCAGAACCUCCAAACUACGAGGGGACACCAGCGCAGCAAGAGCAGCUGUGAAACGGACAUCAGUGCAGGAAGAACUCGGCAAGGCUCCGAUGAGGAUGUAGGGAUGGUACGGUGCAACUCUAACCAGACGUGUGACAGCCAGCAGCUCUCAGAGACACCAAGCAGCCUGUCGCUGACGUCGCUGCUUCUGCCGAGCUCUCUAGCACCCCCGUCUGUGAAAAAGUGCAACAGCACGGGCAGCUUAGACCAUGGGACUCUCACAACCCAAGAAAAAGUGUUCAUAAAAGAGCCAAAGGGUAAAAUCACCAGCCCCUGGAAAGAAAGUAAAGAAGCAAGAAGAAAGAGUCAGUCGGAGGCAGCACAAGGAAAAGACGGGGAAAGUACAAGCCAAAUAACAAUUGUGGGCUCCAGGAGAAAUAGAUGA